GACGAACCGUCCAAACGUUAUUCGGAAUCACUGGGCUUACAGAGUUCGUAGGCGGUCUGGAAAGUUGGGUGUGAAAUCCCUCGGCUCAACCGAGGAACUGCGCUUGAAACUACCAGACUCGAGGGAGAUAGAGGAAAGCGGAACUGAUGGUGGAGCGGUGAAAUGCGUUGAUAUCAUCAGGAACACCGGUGGCGAAGGCGGCUUUCUGGGUCUUACCUGACGCUGAGGAACGAAAGCCAGGGGAGCGAAACGGG
rnacentral:rRNA from 1 species